rnacentral:rRNA from 1 species
CAAUAGCGUAUAUUAAAGUUGUUGCAGUUAAAACGCUCGUAGUCGGAUUUCGGGGCGGGGCCGCCGGUCUGCCGAUGGGUAUGCACUGGCGGGCGCGUCCUUCCUUCCGGAGACUGGCCCUACUCUUAACUGAGCGGGGUCGGGAAUCGGAUCGUUUACUUUGAAAAAAUCAGAGUGUUUCAAGCAGGCAAUUUGUUCUUGCAUGGAUUAGCAUGGGAUAAUGAAAUAGGACUUUGGUGCUAUUUUGUUGGUUUCGAACACCGAAGUAAUGAUUAACAGGGACAGUCAGGGGCACUCGUAUUCCGCCGAGAGAGGUGAAAUUCUCAGACCAGCGGAAGACGAACUACUGCGAAAGCAUUUGCCAGGGAUGUUUUCACUGA